GUAAAUUGAAGAGAGGAGGAAGGUAUCUCUGGAUGCUUUUUCUCAUCUUCUUUUCAUAUCAUUAUUUUGAAUGCUUUUCUUGCAACAUGACUCUCCCAACUUUUCCCUUCUCCAUUAACUGAACCAGGAUUCUACCUACCUCCUCAUUUUUCUUCUCCCUCUUCUAGCUCCUGCCUUUGUUUAGAUAGACUACUACCACAAUUCUUCUACUUCCUCACAUGGGUCUUCUCAAGCCACGUCCCUUUCCUACUGCACACACAUGAGUGAACACAAUAAUCCUUCAGAACCACCGGCUCCUGUCCCUGCCAUGGAGCACCAGAGCUCGACUCUACUAGCAACUGUUUCUUCUCAUAUUUUGCACUGACUUUGGUUAUGUUUUCAUUCAAUUAGUGUUUCCUCUCAUUUCAACUAGUUUAGAAAUACUCCAGGAAAGAAAACUACAUUUAUAAGAGAGCAAGUAGAUAAUUUGCCACACUGACAUAAUCCACCUACUUACAGUUUUUACUUUUUCACUUCCUAAAUACUUUCUAAUGGGCCUCUACAUUCUGGUCAAAUUCUGACAUCCCUUGCACUUUUUUUUUUUUAAGAUUAUGGAGAGUAACUAGAAAUGAUGCACUGUGUCUUGAUUCCCCUUCUUUCUAUUGCUUAACAUGAAAGAUCAGAGUCUGGGUCUCUAUUCUUACCGAAAAGUUUCAUCCUCAAGCAGGUCUCUAUUUUUUCCCUUACAGUUCACUCCUGCCCCCGUGGUCUCCCCAUCUCUUCCUACCAAACCAACAUUACUCAUUCU
rnacentral:lncRNA from 1 species